UUGUUACUUAACCGUUGCCGCCAAUUCGUUCUACCGAGGAAUCAUUCUGUGCACCAUUUUGACGGUGUCAUCAGGCUAGCUAGUUGCAUUAAACUAAAUCAAAUGAUUCGAGUGAUUAUAUCAGGAAUCAAAACGAAAAAAAAGGAGAAAGUAAAGGAGAAGCACAGAAUGAAACGUUGGAAGAACUGAAAGGUCAGUUACAAACAACUGAAUGCAAUAACUGAUGAUGCAGAUGUUGAACUUGAGAUUACGAAAAGAGAAAAUACAUUACUGAAGCAAUUGAACCAACAACUUAGAGAGUAAAAUGAAAUAUAAAGGAACCAGAAAAAAGCAACAAUGGGAACAAGUGAAUUAGAAAACCUUUGCUGAAAUAACUAAUAUUAAUAAAUAUCAGCUGAAAAGAUUAUAGUAGAGAGAUAGAAGAAAUUAUAGUAAAGAAGAUCAAUGAUGAUAAACCAACGGGCAUGAACGAGAAAGUCGAUCAUUACUUGAUAAAAUAGAUCUAUACAAGCUAAAGAAAUUUAUACGAAGAUUGAGAAUGAAAUUAUUAUAAGCUGUAUGAAUGAAAAUAAUGUCAAUGCUACUGAAAAGUUAUUAGAAUCCAGUCGGUCAGCUAGUGCAUGUAAAAUACAAAUUGAUCAAUUGAUGGGAAUGGAUAUUACUUUUAUAACACAACACAGGUCAACUUUUAUGUCUGCGUAUAGCAAGCGCCACUAGAGAGCGAAGAAUGAAACGCUGCCGUUUAUUGCCAACCUCAAAAUGAUGAAUUUACUUACAACAAUCAUUGCCAACAUCUUACAUACGAUUAGUUUUAUUCUCACUUCAAUUAAUGAAGCUACAGAUUAAACUCAUUGAAUUUCAGUAAUUUGAAUAACACGUAUCAUGUACGCCACAUGUACAGAAACCAAAUAAAUGGAUUAGGCAGUUCAAUCUUAGAGGUGACAAUUGAAAUAUGUAAACAUAUAAAAUAAAAGAAAAACAAAGAUUUUGUGGUAUAUCAAAACUGCAAGGUGUAUGACGUGAUUAAUGACAGAUCAUGCAAUAAUUGUGGUAAAUUUGGUCAUAAUGAUCAUAGGUGCAAAAAUAAUAGUGUUUGCCUCAAAUGUUCAAGUCAGUCGAACAAAUUUAUGUCAUAGUGUGGAGUUCAAAUGCUUGCAUUUAUAGUGACACCAAGUACAAAACCAGUCAGGAUGUAAACCAUCCAGCUACUGCUAUGAGUGUGUGUCAAAUUAUAAAAUCCAAGGUUAAAAAGCUGAUUGAUACGAUUGUUUAUGUAAUAAAACCUAUAUUAUCGACAUGGAGUAAGAAAGGGAAACAAGAUCGUGCUAAUGUAAUUUAAAGAAGAACGGCAACUUCAAUGAAGCUAUCAACAUCGAUGGAAUAAGAAAAGGAAUGAUACAUGACGAAAUAUUGCUCUCUGAUCUUGGAAUCCUUAAUAAAAAUAUAGAUGAUAAACACAUUUUGACACUAUGUAUCAAUAUUAGAAGCCUACAUGCUAAUCAUAAUAACCUUGAAAAUCUUGUUGAGACACUGCAGAUCAAACCUUAUACUGUUACGUGUGCGGUUUUUUUGAGGCAUGUACCUAUGAGAAAACCCCGUUAUUGUGUAGUUCUUUUGCCUUAACCCCUGAAAUAAAGGUAAAUAUGGAUAAUAUAAAGGACUUCCUCUGAUGGGCAAAAAGAAGGAUCGGUCUUUCCGACCCAAAAACACCUUGAAUCAAUUAGUUGUAUGGACUUAGGUGAUUCCAAAGCCGUCUUGGUUCAUGAACAAGCACCUCCCUCUUACGCUCACUCACGUAAGACAAGAGCUCACUGAUAUAUAUACUAACCAAGAGCUGUUUCGCUCUUGCAACCGAUUUCCUCGCAGGCUGGUCACACCAUCUUUAAUUUUAAACUGCGAAAGGCUAUAAAAUGAUUGCAUCGGCGACGACGGCGAAUAUGUUUUGACAGGAAAUGCCCCAUAAAUAAAAUGAAAACAUCAUUGUUGUCGUCAUCGAUGCAAUCAUUUUAUGGCCUUUCGCAGUUUCAAAUUAAAGAUAGUAUGGCCAGCCUGCGAGAAAUAGACGAAGAACUUGCGUGGUAUCGAGUCAGCAGUGACCGAAUGCGAACUUUGAAGAUAUUUUCUCAUGUGUGUGAAGUUGGCCCAGCACUUUUCGAAAAUAAUGAUUAUAAAAAUUGUGCUGAAUUGUGCUAAGGGUGUGCUAACUUGUGCCGUCAAUCCGCCUUUCCUAACUUCAAAGGAUUCCCCAAAAAUCGAAAAUCUGAUAAGCCCAGCACUUUUGGGAUAAAAAAAAAAAAAAUUGUGCCGGGUUGUGCUACAUUUGUGCUAACUUGUGCCGUAGUUCAUUUUUUCGAAAAGUCCAUUAUUCACACGGAAAGAAAAAAAAAAAUUAGGUUGAGAGAAAUGGUGCUGGGUUGUACCGCAUUUGUGCCAACUUGUGCCGUGCUCUAGUUGCCAAACAUUGGAGAAAAGUUGAGAAAGUCCAGAAAAAUCAUCGAGAAAAUUGAAAAAUUUACACACGGCUCGGAUCUGUCGAGAUUUUUGAAUUUUUUCGAUCGUGCUAGAUUGUGCCAUGUUUGUGCCAACUAGUGCCGUGCUCUAUUUUCCCAAACAUUCGAGAAAAGUUGAAAAAAUCCAGAAAAAUCAUCGAGCAAAUUGAAAAAUUGACACACGGCUCGGAUCUUUCGAGAUUUUUGAAUGUUUUUGACCGUGCUGGAUUGUGCCAUGCUUGUGCCAACUUGUGCCGUACUCUAUUUUCCCAAACAUUCGAGAAGAGUUGAGAAAAUCCAGAAAAAUCAUCGAGCAAAUUGCAAAAUUUACACACGGCUCGGAUCUUUCGAGAUUUUUGAAUUUUUUCGAUUGUGUUAGAUUGUGCCGUGUUUGUACCAACUUGUGCCGCCCUUUUUUAAUGAGAUUUAGUUUGAUUCAAUCAAAGAUCAAUUAAUAUGAUCUGUUCCAUUUGUAUUUCAUGAAAGGAAAGAAUUUUGUUUAACGUGUUUUUCCAAACUCAGUUCUUUUAAAACUCUCAUGUCAUAUACACGUAGUUGUCGAAUAAUUAAAUUCAUUUACAAACGUUAUAGAGAUAUCGAAUGGAGUUUUUUAUUGCUGUAAUUGACUCAAAUCUACAGUGAGCACAUUAAAAAUUCAGAAACCAUUAUAGAAUUGAUUCCAAUUUCAAACAAAUUAUUCAAAAGUAUUUAUCGCAUCAGAACUCAGAAACAAUUCGAAAUUGAUUGGGCGCCAGAUAAUUCAAAAUUAAAAUAAAUCCUCAAUUCACCUAUCAUCCAGAAGAAACUAACCAUGAGUCGAAUGAAAUUCUUUCCGGAUAAAACCACGAAAAAGACCUGUGGCAACGUCUUUCAACAAUUUCACAAUAAUUAGUGAACGCUACCCAGGAAAUUUUCAUUAAUAGUCACGAAACUACCAAAUAUUUUCAACGGAAUUCAAAAUAAAGUAAAAGGAGGAAGCAUGUUGAGAGUGAAUAUAAAAGGGAUUUAUUAGAAAAAUAGUAUCACUUGAAAUUAAACGGGAGACGGAAGAUUUGUAUCUCGUUCAAAAUUUACAACACAUGUUACAACAAUAACAAGUUUUGAACGAUUCUGAGAUUCAGGCCUGUAGAAGUUUGUAUCCCUUUUGAAGAAAAUGUAUACGGAAUAAACUCCAUUGGGGUCAGCAUAAAGAACGUCACAAUAUCUGAAAAUCUACCUUCGCACGUAUGCAAAAUAUCGAACGCGCUCAACGACUAAAUGAGAGAAGAAAACAAACAGUUAAAUUUGGAUUUUCGAUACAGGGCACAUUCGUAGAAGAAUCACCUCUGAAUAACUUAUAUCUACAUUUGGCUUAAUGAAAACGAAUAAAAAAUUAAGUUCAUCAAGCUUUAUUUCCAACCUUGUUUCAUAACUUGAGCCCUCUGUAAACGUUAUGCUUUUCGGAGUGUUGGUAAUAUUAUAAUUCAUGAUUGAGAGUUGGCAACAUUGGUGUAUGCGCAGGCGCAAAAUAUAUAUUACUGGAACAUUCCGGAACGUGCGUCACUUCCUUUAGAGAGGUUAAAAAUGUCUGUGUAACACCACAUGCUGCUGAGAGCAAAAAGAAAUCAAAAAUAAUAGAAAGCUUAAAACUAAAAAUAUAUCCAAAGAUAUCUUGCGCAUCCUUGCUCAGUGCGAAGCGUUAUUUCAUUAAUCUAUAUUGUUAUCCACUACUUAUAUCAGUGUACAUGUAUAAAUACACUAUUCUCAGUUGUUUUCUAUA